rnacentral:rRNA from 1 species
AACGUAGGAGCCUAGCGUUAUCCGGAAUCACUGGGCGUAAAGCGUCUGUAGGUCGUUCAAUAAGUCAACUGUUAAAUCUUGAGGCUCAACUUCAAAAUCGCAGUCGAAACUAUUAAACUAGAGUAUAGUAGGGGUAAAGGGAAUUUCCAGUGGAGCGGUGAAAUGCGUAGAGAUUGGAAAGAACACCAAUGGCGAAAGCACUUUACUGGGCUAUUACUGACACUGAGAGACGAAAGCUAGGGUAGCAAAUGGG